AGCAUUUGUAGCUUUUGCAAUUGUAAAGAAAUGAAUACAAGAAGUAGUCUCCUUCAACAGCCCGCAUCUCUCAUUUCUACCUUUCUUUGCGUGUUGAUGUUUGCAUGAAUUAUUGUUGCGUUUAUUUUUCUUGUUGCUUGCAUGAGUUUCGGUUGGUUCCUUGUGAUUGGGAAGGUUGCCGUUUGGGUCUUUGGGACUGAAAUUGCAGGCUGACUUGUGGGGAGGAGCAAGUGCCGCACGUCUAGGGGCUGUUUCUGGUUGUCAAAACUGUCCCAGCGUGACACACGCGUUGCAUUGAACGCCUUAG
rnacentral:misc_RNA from 1 species